rnacentral:rRNA from 1 species
UACGUAGGCAGCGAGCGUUGUUCGGGGUUACUGGGCGUAAAGGGUGUGUAGGCGGUUGUUUAAGUUUGGUGUGAAAUCUCCUGGCUUAACUGGGAGGGUGCGCCGAAAACUGGAGUGCUCGAGCGCGGGAGAGGGAUGCGGAAUUCCAGGUGUAGCGGUGAAAUGCGUAGAUAUCUGGAGGAACACCGGUGGCGAAGGCGGCAUCCUGGACCGGUAUUGACACUGAGGCGCGAAAGCCAGGGGAGCAAACGGG